GCCGGGCAGCCUCUCUCAGCUCCUCGCCCACCCCGCGCACCCCGCGGGCGGCGCCCCCCCCGCUUCGCCUCCCUCGCCGUCUCCCUGGAGGGGCGGUCAUCAGGGGACGCCAUGCAGGCUGGAGCCCCUCUGGGCUCAGGCGUUAAACCAGCCACCGCCUCCGCCCCACUUCCUCCGGCUCCGCUUCCCUCGCCUUCCCGCUCCGUCUGAGGAUGUGGGAAUCCGCCCGCGCCCCAGCCCCCUCCGUGGCUGCGGACCCCUCUCCCACCCAGUGACCUCCUGGCCCACUUCCUUGCCCGGAGGGGCCUGGGUUGGCAUUCGGCUCCCGCGUGCCCCACAGCUCGUCCCCGCCCCCCUAGCCUGUUUCCCGUACGGUUCAUUCUGCCAGGACGCCCCGUCGCGAGAGGGCCUGGCGGAGGUGACAGUAAGGGGGUGCUAAUGCUGCUCCUUCGUCCCUUUCUUUCACUUCAGUUCUUUCAUUUCAAACUUUUCAUAAAGUCUUCACUAUUGCUCACUUACAACAAAAGCCCAAAUCGGUUAUAGCGGUGAUUUUUAUCACUCUCCCGGUGAGCUGCAGAAGACUUCAUCUGGCAUCCUGAUGCCGCAGGGGCCCCCAGAGAGCAGAUGGGGCUGGCGAGGGCCUGGCACGGGGCUGCAUAGUGCCUGGAGUCACCAGCACCUACAGACGGAUCCCUGACGCUGCCCACGGGUGCUCAUCCUGGGAGAGAGGUGACAAGCUCAGAGGUGUCGGCAGGGAGGCACUGUUUCUCAAACUGGCCUCCCAGGACUCAGGAGUGGAGAUGGCAGUUGGGGACAGCCCCCUGGCCACCUUACCGGGCCUUUCUCAGGACUCCCUGGACUUUGAAUCCUCAGGGAGUUCUGAGCCCCCAGCCCAGGUAGGCCGACUCCUGGCCAGCCAGAAGCUGGGGCAGGUGCUGGAGCGGUCCCGC
rnacentral:sRNA from 1 species